GCCAAUUUGCUGUUAAACCCAACAUUUCUCAUCCCCAAAACAAGAAAUAUUUUGUGUGGCGAGUCCGACAACCGUAAAUUUUCUGUCAAUUUGGGCAAACAAAACAAAGCACAAAAAUAUUUAAGAGCUGAAAAAGAGAAGACAUGGAAUUUAGAAUCUGAAUGUUUUUCCAGGCAGGAUCCAGUCGAACAAGGACAUAGCCAGCAGACAAGGAUUCCUUGGAACUCUGCCGUCCUUUCCUCUUCCGUCGUCUUUUCCCUCAAAGGUUGCCGAUAUAUACCCUUUAAAGAUUUUACAGGGAUAACCAAGUGAAAUAACCACUUUGAUUAUCUAAAUAUCUGAGAUUUAGUGUGGCAGUGAAAACCCUUAUCGAAUUGGGUCACACAUGUGGCCUUCGUAUUUUUUAUUCAACAAGAUUCUUAAGACAGAAGAUGAAGAUGUAUCAGAUGGAGAACUUUCAGGCAUGGUAGAACCCUACCCAUGUGAACAGCCGUUGCCCUGCUCGCACUUUGUUGAAGUCCCGCACAUAAACCAGCAAGAUUCUUGGGAUUGCGGCCUUGCCUGUGUUCUGAUGGUCUUUCGGACCGUUGGCAUAGACAACUGCGAUAUUCAGACAUUGGCACAGCUAUGUGGCACAACUAGCAUUUGGACUGUUGAUCUAGCAUUUUUAUUACAGACGUUCUCCAUUAGUUUUUGCUACUACACAGUGACAGUUGGAGCAAACCCAAGUUAUUCAGGGGAGAAAUUUUACAAGGAGCAAUUACCUAAUGAUCUGGAGCGAGUCAAUAAUCUAUUUCAAAAAGCACUGGAAGGUGGAAUGAAUAUACAGCGCAGAUCAAUCAGUCGACAAGAAAUUUGUUUCGCAAUUUUGUCCGGGAAAUACAUUGCCAUUGUUUUGGUUGAUCAGUAUAAAUUGAGGUCUCGUCUAGACGAUGUUUUUGUCUCAGACUUUUGUGGAAGCAACUCUGGUUACACAGGUCACUAUGUUGUCAUAUGUGGGUAUGACACUACCACGGAUGAGUUUGAAAUUAGAGAUCCGGCCUGUUCAAGUAAACGCAGGAUAUGUCAGGAAUGGGAAUGAGACCCAUACCAUCCAUACCCAUUCCUGGAAAAACGAGAGGAUCUCAUCAACAUGCUUAGAAGAAGCCCGCAAAUCCUUUGGUACUGAUGAGGAUCUUCUCUUGAUAUCUCUGAAGAAGAGUGGGAAGCAAAAUCGCCCGGCAAUACAACAGUGAUAGUAUUGAUUCCUGACUUCAAUUGUCGGUCCGUAUGAAAACGAAGAAGCUUAUAUUUUACAAGUUUUCGUGUAUAGCAUUAGCAUGUACCAUAUAGGGAAAAAUUGUUUCUCUAUUGAUUUGUUUGAGCUCCUGAACUGGUUGGAUGAACGUGCAAACCAACACCAACACGCAUCGAGUAAUUGUACAUCAUGUAACAUGUAUUUUGUAUUACUCUCCCCAUUUCCUGAUAGAUUCUUCUGUCUCAAUAAAGUAGAAUCACAUGACCCUUCAUCGAGUUCA